rnacentral:rRNA from 1 species
UACGUAGGGUGCGAGCGUUGUCCGGAAUUAUUGGGCGUAAAGAGCUCGUAGGCGGUUUGUCACGUCUGCUGUGAAAUCCCGAGGCUCAACCUCGGGCCUGCAGUGGGUACGGGCAGACUGGAGUGCGGUAGGGGAGAAUGGAAUUCCUGGUGUAGCGGUGGAAUGCCCAGAUAUCAGGAGGAACACCGAUGGCGAAGGCAGUUCUCUGGGCCGUAACUGACGCUGAGGAGCGAAAGCGUGGGGAGCGAACAGG